rnacentral:tRNA from 2 species
GCCGGCGUAGCUCAGUGGUAGAGCAACUGAUUCGUAAUCAGUAGGUCCGGGGUUCAAAUCCCCGCGCCGGCUCCA